UCAGUCUAAUGGAUAUUUAUUUGGGGAAAAUCCAUGGGUCAGUGAAAGAGGACCUGCCUUGCAUGGACGAAGCUCCCAGGUUUAAUCCCUGGCAUCUCCAGUCUGGCCCCCCGACAAGGUCUGAGGGACAGUGGACCGGCUCCCUGCUGAAAAAGUUUGCUGACCCCUGUCUAAUGCAUCAGGAAGAACCACCUGGACAAAAUUGCAGUAAAUUGUAAGGCUAACUGAGAAGUACAGAACUGAACUGAAGACUGGAGAAAUGAGAAGCAGAAAACAGAAAUUGAUGUUAUCUCACCGAUUCUUCAUCAGGGAUAAAGAAGAUGGUGGUUGCAGCCAUGUGGCCUAGCACUUUAAUGUCAUGAUUUGUUUAACAAUAUGCAUAUGCCGCCUGAUUGUGAAAAAACAAGAGAAGCUUCUCUUCACAGUAGCAGGAAAACCAUGGUUACAACUAAUGGCUAAUCUGGAGAGAGCUAAACCAUGAACCCGGGUUUGGACAACAUGCUAAUCCAAACUACAACCGUAUCUGUACUGUACCUUUAAAGCAGUAUCACACCACUUUAAACAGCCAUGGCUUCCCUCAAAGAAUCUUGGGAAGUGUAGUUUGUAAAGGUUGCUGAGAGUUGCUAGGAGACCCCCUGUUCCCCUCACAGAACUACUGUUGCCAGAGUGGUUUAACAGUCAGUUCCUUUUCCCAGGGGACUGAGGGGAAAAGGGGUCUCCAACAACUCUCACAGCACCAUUAACAAACUUCACUUUUGAGGUGCCUUUGGGGGGAAGCCAUGACUGUUUAAAGGGGGAAUAAUCCUGUUUUAAAUGUAUUGUGCUUCUGGGGAUCAAGAUUGCAAUCCUAUAUAUGUGGGAAUAAGUUCCACUGAUGCUGGUAAGACAUACAGUACUUCUGGGUAUCACACACAGGAAUCCUGUGCUGCAAGGUUAAAUUAUUAUUUCAUCAUCAAAACCUCAGACAGGGCCUAUGGCUUUAAUCAGCAUGGUAAUGUGGAGAGCAAGGCUUAUCUGAACCAAGACACCAACAUAUAAAGAAGAAAGUCAUGAGGGAAGAUUUGUUAACAGGCUUACACCUAACAUUCAGAAAUCUGUGAAAUAACAUUCCAGUUUCAGACGAUACUCUUCUGCUGACAUGAAACCUGCUGCACCUGAAUUUAUUGGCAAGUUUGAUUUAACUAAUCUAGGACUCAGUUGAGACCAGGGUUGUCUCUACUGCUAACACUGUUACGGCCAGUCAAUACGGAACAUUUGCUCCGAUUUAUUUCCCAAUCAGCCUUUUGUCCCGUUUCGAUGCAUUCCUAACCGCACUUUUUCAAAAAGUGAUUAUGUCAUGCCAGGGCGACAAAGCUCUUCAUGCCUUUUAAUUGCACCAACCAAAAGUUGCAGCAUACUCUUGAAUCCCUCCUGCAAAAAUACCGACAAGGCUGGAGGCAUUGUGCGUACUCACCAAUAACAGCUGUUGUGAAAGGUCACUGCAAUAAACUAGGAGACAUUUGAGCUUCACAGAAACAUGCCUUGGAGUUACUCUUAUCUCUGGCAUUUCUUAACCCACUUUCUCUCUCGCACACAGGUGUAGAGAGAGAAUCUGCCAACCAGUAACAGCACUUCAGAGACGAAGAGUCUUGUGGCGCCUUAAAGACUUCGUUUUCCGGUGCACAAAAGCUCGUGCUAGAAGAAUAUAGUUGUUAACCUUCAAGGCAAAAUGGGACAUUUUUGUUGCUUUCGUUGCAAUAGCCCUAACACUGCGAAACCCGCCCCAGGAAAGUCUAAAACUUGGUGCAGGCACAACAAACCUUUAAAUUAGCAUGUGAUGCUCUGUUUAUCUGUGUGGUUUGCUCUCCCGGGCUAAAUCUCACCGGACUGGAGGUCUGAAAUGCACGCAGGAGACCUAAACUCUGAGACAUCCACAUAAGCAGUUUGAAAGCAUGACCCCUCCCAUAGCUCAAAGCAUCAAGUCUUCCUUCCCCCCUCCCUGGCUCCCUAGUAGUCUCUUACCCACAGA